rnacentral:rRNA from 1 species
CCUACGGGUGGCAGCAGUGAGGAAUAUUGGUCAAUGGGCGCGAGCCUGAACCAGCCAAGUAGCGUGAAGGAUGACUGCCCUACGGGUUGUAAACUUCUUUUAUAAAGGAAUAAAGUGAGGCACGGGUGCCUUUUUGUAUGUACUUUAUGAAUAAGGAUCGGCUAACUCCGUGCCAGCAGCCGCGGUAAUACGGAGGAGCCGAGCGUUAUCCGGAUUUAUUGGGUUUAAAGGGAGAGUAGAUGGGUUGUUAAGUCAGUUGUGAAAGGUUGCGGCUCAAACGUAAAAUUGCAAUUGAUACUGGCAGCCCUGAGUACAGUUGGGGUAGGCCGGAUUCGUUG